rnacentral:rRNA from 1 species
GAUGAACGCUGGCGGCGUGCCUAAUACAUGCAAGUCGAGCGAACAGACGAGGAGCUUGCUCCUCUGACGUUAGCGGCGGACGGGUGAGUAACACGUGGAUAACCUACCUAUAAGACUGGGAUAACUUCGGGAAACCGGAGCUAAUACCGGAUAAUAUAUUGAACCGCAUGGUUCAAUAGUGAAAGACGGUUUUGCUGUCACUUAUAGAUGGAUCCGCGCCGCAUUAGCUAGUUGGUAAGGUAACGGCUUACCAAGGCGACGAUGCGUAGCCGACCUGAGAGGGUGGUCGGCGACACUGGAACUGAGACACGGUCCAGACUCCUACGGGAGGCAGCAGUAGGGAAUCUUCCGCAAUGGGCGAAAGCCUGACGGAGCAACGCCGCGUGAGUGAUGAAGGUCUUCGGAUCGUAAAACUCUGUUAUUGGGGAAGAACAAAUGUGUAAGUAACUAUGCACGUCUUGACGGUACCUAAUCAGAAAGCCACGGCUAACUACGUG